GAAAUCAGGCGGUGAUUACACUUACCUUCUGGAGACCCUGGGGCCCCUGCCUGCCUUCCUGCGACUCUGGAUUGAGUUCAUUUUCAUCAGACCUGCAGUGGCCACAUACGUGUCUCUGGCUUUUGGUCAGUAUGUGGUGGAGCCAUUAUUCAUGCCGUGUGCCGCUCCAACAGUUCUGAUCAAACUCGUCAGCAUGCUGGGAGUCAGUGAGUGACAUUACUUUAUUGAUUACUUUAGUUUAGUAAUCUAAAUUUGUCAAAAAAACCUACAUAUGAUGUUGUAAAACUAUGAUCUGUUCUGCCUAGUAUUUGUGGUGGCAGUGAACUGCUGGAGUGUGUCGAUGGCAGCACGUUUACAGGUCUUGCUGACCUUCAUCAAGAUGUUUGCUCUGAUUCUGAUCAUCAUCCCAGGCAUCAUGGCUCUGGUCAAUGGAUGUUGUUUGUGGGAGCCAGAGAGGGUCACUUACCGGCUAUCUUCUCCAUGAUCCAUAUCCGCAGACAGACACCACUGCCAGCUGUGCUAUGUUUGGUACAAUCACAUCCAUUCAUCCUUUUCUCCUGGUUCCUUAAUACCUGUUUACGUUUCUCCUGAUGUUUGUAGUAUCCUCUGGUGAUCAUCAUAAUGGUGAGAGGAGAGAUCUUUCAACUGAUCAACUUUGCAUCCUUCUCCCGUUGGCUCUUCAUUGCCUUGGCCACAUUAGGAAUGAUCAUCCACCGCUACAGAUUUCCAGAUCAUCCCAGACCAUUCAAGGUCCAUUUAAAUGGCUCAUUACCGAUUUAUUCAUAGGAAUUUGCCACUGUAUUAAUUAAACAUUGCGUUGACUGUGUUCAGGUCCCUCUUGCAGUUGCGGUGAUCUUUACCACAGUGUGUUUCUUCAUCGUGGGCCUGUCCUUGUAUUCGGACCCCUGGAAUACAGGCGGCAGCUGUGCCCUCACAUUAUCAGGAGUACCUGUGUAUUACCUGACAAUCAAGAAGUCAUACAUACCCAAACGCUGGAAAAAAACCUUCAAUUAUUUAAGCCUACAUCUGCAGAUAUUCCUGGAAGUGGCUCAGCAGGAAGUUCAGACGUACUGAUGGAGCUUCACCAAACUACAGACCUGAGUGUUGCAAAGGGCAUCAAAAUUAAUUUGAGUGGUGUUUGCUACUACUAUUAGACCUUACCAACAUAGCAUCAGCAUCGCAAAAUCCUUGCACCCUAUCCAUUAUUGCAAGCAUCACUUAUAUUUUAAUCUAUCUUAUAUUCAAAUCAA